rnacentral:tRNA from 1 species
GAUAUGGUGCUCAGUAGAGCAACAGACUUUUAAUCUGAGGGCCUAGGAUUCAACUCCCUGUUGAAUUU